rnacentral:lncRNA from 1 species
GAGGAUAUUUAAGUCGUUAAGACAUUUUGAAGGACAAAACUUGACGACUUUUGGAUUCCACUUCAGGAUAAAAUAAGCCAUGAUAGAUUGAACCAAGUAAUAAAACAGUAAUCACAAGUGUAUUCUGAAACAGCUUGAAAAAAUAACAGACUUCUUUUUCAGUUUUUCUCUACUGAAGUCAGCAGGAACAUCACUUUGGAUUACAUGAUGCUAAAAAGAAAAGCAACUGGAGCUGCUGAUAAGACACCUACUCAGAGUAAUGAUGCAUAAUAUGAAAAUGCAAUAAUCCAGACCUCAUAAGUGUGGACGA